GAUGAACGCUGGCGGCGUGCCUAAUACAUGCAAGUCGAGCGAACAGACGAGGAGCUUGCUCCUCUGACGUUAGCGGCGGACAGGUGAGUAACACGUGGAUAACCUACCUAUAAGACUGGGAUAACUUCGGGAAACCGGAGCUAAUACCGGAUAAUAUAUUGAACCGCAUGGUUCAAUAGUGAAAGACGGUUUUGCUGUCACUUAUAGAUGGAUCCGCGCCGCAUUAGCUAGUUGGUAAGGUAACAGCUUACCAAGGCAACGAUGCGUAGCCGACCUGAGAGGGUGAUCGGCCACACUGGAACUGAGACACGGUCCAGACUCCUACGGGAGGCAGCAGUAGGGAAUCUUCCGCAAUGGGCGAAAGCCUGACGGAGCAACGCCGCGUGAGUGAUGAAGGUCUUCGGAUCGUAAAACUCUGUUAUUAGGGAAGAACAAAUGUGUAAGUAACUAUGCACGUCUUGACGGUACCUAAUCAGAAAGCCACGGCUAACUACGUG
rnacentral:rRNA from 1 species